CACUUGCAUCCAGUAAUGGAAACAGGCCAAAACGACAGGUGCGUGGACAAAAAAGAAGACUAGGCUGUGGACUGAUAUUUAUCAGACGACAAAGCCUGUUGGGGAAGCUAAUAAUGUAGCAGGUGCAGUGGCUCUUGACUUGGUACCUGCAGCACCUUCUGGACAAUCUCCGCCAUCACAAGGUCCUGUGGUGAAGGAGAAAGUACUGCCUGAAGAGCCUUCGAAUGAUGUGCCAACUCUUCAAAGCACCACAACAUUUAAGAUUGUCAAUGUGGUUGAGGACUCGGACA
rnacentral:lncRNA from 1 species